AAAUUAUGAAAGUUAUCGAUGCUUGCGAUGCGAAGAAGCAAAUGUCAGAUGAUCAUUGCGAAAGUGCUGCUUCGAUGGCUGCAUGUGUUAAAAAAGAAGCCGAAUCGGUUGGUUUGACCAAAGAGGCAUUCAUGGCGUCUUAAUUAUGCACGUUUUAAUUAAUCUCUAGAAAGAAUUGUUAUUUACCUCGAAUUGUGAAAAUAAAGCAUUUUAAAAACUA